rnacentral:misc_RNA from 1 species
GAUGAAGAACGUAGCGAAAUGCGAUAAGUAAUGUGAAUUGCAGAAUUCAGUGAAUCAUCGAAUCUUUGAACGCACAUUGCGCUCUUUGGUAUUCCGGAGAGCAUGCUUCUUUGAGAAUCAGUAAAUUCAUCAACCCCAAUGUUUUGGAUUUUAUUCCGAGAUGUUGGUGGUUGGAUCUGGGUCAUUUGCCGUCUCACGACAGCAAUAACCUGAAAUUCAAUGUUACGCUCCUUUGAACCGAAAGGUUUUGGGCAAACGCAUGAAUGAGGAAACUCAGCAGUACGUGAGCCUUUGAAACUGAUCGAUUCAGGUGGUGGGUGACUCAACUAAUUCACCAGGGAUUGUGAGCAUCAGCUCGCUUUUUCUGAACUCUUGGUCUCAAAUGAAGUAGGAAAACCCGCUGAACUUAAGCAUAUCAAUAAGCGGAGGA